UUUCCUGUGAUGGGAUCAGUCAGAUGCCUGCCUGGCCGCUCCCCCUGAGGGGACUUGGGCUCCUCUUAGCAUUGGCAGGCAGGAAUAAACUUCCGGCUCAGAUCGAGCUAUGCCUGAUGCUGCCUUAAGCCUUAUGAGGUCGCCACGGAACCGCAGAAACUCCUGGAGGGCAGAUGCAUGCCUGCCAUCUUCAUCGUUUCAUUACCACCAUCCAACACUAUCGGGGGACCUGCCCUGAUAAUCAGUCUACAGGUGUAUCCAGCAGCUCCAGAGAGACAGCGACCAGCGAGAAGGGGCCAUGAUGAUGGUGGUGGUUUUGUCAAAAUGAAAAGGGGGAUAUGUAGGGAAAAGAAAGAGAGAUCAGACUGUUACUGUGUCUACAUAGAAAGGGAAGCCAUAAGAGACUCCAUUUUG
rnacentral:lncRNA from 1 species